rnacentral:rRNA from 1 species
CCUACGGGAGGCAGCAGUGGGGGAUAUUGGGCAAUGGGCGCAAGCCUGACCCAGCAACGCCGCGUGAGGGAAGAAGGCUUUCGGGUUGUAAACUUCUUUUCUCAGGGACGAAGGAAGUGACGGUACCUGAGGAAUAAGCCACGGCUAACUACGUGCCAGCAGCCGCGGUAAUACGUAGGGGGCAAGCGUUAUCCGGAUUUACUGGGUGUAAAGGGCGUGUGGGCGGGGAAGCAAGUCAGAUGUGAAAACCACGGGCUCAACCUGUGGACUGCAUUUGAAACUGUUUUGCUGGAGUACUGGAGAGGUAGACGGAAUUCCUAGUGUAGCGGUGAAAUGCGUAGAUAUUAGGAGGAACACCAGUGGCGAAGGCGGUCUGCUGGACAGUAACUGACGCUGAGGCGCGAAAGCGUGGGUAUCAAACAGGAUUAGAUACCCUAGUAGUC